rnacentral:rRNA from 1 species
GACGAACCGUGCAAACGUUAUUCGGAAUCACUGGGCUUAAAGGGCGCGUAGGCGGGUCAGCAAGUCAGGGGUGAAAUCCCACGGCUCAACCGUGGAAGUGCCUUUGAUACUGUUGAUCUCGAGGGAGGUAGGGGCGUGCGGAACUUCCGGUGGAGCGGUGAAAUGCGUAGAUAUCGGAAGGAACACCGGUGGCGAAAGCGGCGCGCUGGACCUCUUCUGACGCUGAGGCGCGAAAGCCAGGGGAGCAAACGGG